GCUACGGGGCGCUGCAGUCGAGAAUCAUUCACAAUGGGGGAAACCCUGAUGGUGCGACGCCGCGUGGGGGAAUGAAGGUCUUCGGAGUGAAAACCCCUGUGAUGGGGGAGCAAAUUAAAAAGAUCGUACCACAAGAGGAAGAGACGGCUAACUCUGUGCGAGCAGCCGCGGUAAGACAGAGGUGUCAAGCGUUGUUCGGAAUCACUGGGCGUAAAGAGUGCGUAGGCUGUGGCGUAAGUCGUGUGUGAAAGGCGCGGGCUCCACCCGCGGACUGCACAUGAUACUGCGAGACUAGAGUAAUGGAGGGGGAACCGGAAUUCUCGGUGUAGCAGUGAAAUGCGUAGAUAUCGAGAGGAACACUCGUGGCGAAGGCGGGUUACUGGACAGUAACUGACGCUGAGGCACGAAGGCCAGGGGAGCGAAAGGGAUUAGAUACCCGUGUAGUC
rnacentral:rRNA from 1 species